UGUGAUUGUUGCAACGCUGAUGUUGCUCCGCAAACAAAUGCUGCACCAGCCAGCGGUGAUCAGCAAAGUCAGCAGAUGCUCUUAUCCAGAGUGAUUUACAGUGAACUAACAACAUGGACAUUCCUCCUGGAGCACCAAACAUCAACACGAGGAAAAC